GUGGCAAGCGUUGUCCGGAUUUAUUGGGCGUAAAGCGAGUGCAGGCGGUUCAAUAAGUCUGGUGUGAAAUCCCUUGGCUUAACCGGAGAAUUGCAUCAGAAACUGUUGAACUUGAGUGCAGAAGAGGAGAGUGGAACUCCAUGUGUAGCGGUGGAAUGCGUAGAUAUAUGGAAGAACACCAGUGGCGAAGGCGGCUCUCUGGUCUGCAACUGACGCUGAGGCUCGAAAGCAUGGGUAGCGAACA
rnacentral:rRNA from 1 species